rnacentral:lncRNA from 1 species
CCUGUACCUGAGAAAGAGAUUCACGAAAGAACUUGGGUAAGCAAGAAUUCGUUCUUUUUAAAUUUCAUUUUGAAAUAUAAUCACAUUUUCCAUUUGCUAACAAUAGCUGGCCUGAAAAGCAAAUCGCAGAUUAUAACUUUGCCAAAAUGAGUGGAUGAACGAAGCGCCUAGGGGGACUAUUUCCAAUGUAGCUCCAAUGCUCGAGCUCAAAUAGUUUCUCCCCUACUGAAGAAGCGUAGUCUCCAUUGACAUCUACUGUCAAAUGUUACAUUGUGAAUAGGAAUUAAUUACUUAAAAUGAUUAUUUCAGAGUAGUGCGUUCAGAACAAAGACGUACUAGAGGAAGUAGUGGAUUGUCUGUUUCAUAUAUCAGAAUUGGAAUUGUAUGACAUAAUAUAUUGGCGUUAGGCUUAGAAGUCAGAAAUAAACUGAUCUUUGAAAAAUUGCUUGGAUAUACCUUAUUUUUAGCCAUCAACAUACUUUAAAAUUUCAAAUAAGCAGGUUC